GGCUAUGGCCAUAUCACCCUGAACAUUCCCAACUUCAUCUGAUCUUGGAAGCUAAAUGAAGAAGUGCUCUGUUUGGGUAUGAUCCUAACCCAUGACAAAGCACUCCUUGUAGGAA
rnacentral:rRNA from 1 species